GCGAAUAUAAAAUUAUAGUGUAUUAAUAAAUGGCUCCUCUAGAACCAUUUAAUUUUCUUAGAAGUAAAUAUAAUUUAACUAGGCUUAAAUUUAAUGACACAUUUUAAUGAAGCUUUCGGAACAAUAUCAAAAUAAAGCCAAAAGAACAAUUUUGGGCCCGUUACGUCUUUUAACCGUUUGUUAGCUUAAGCAAUCAUAUAUCCUUAAGCAGACGGAGACGGUGAAUCGAUCAAUGCAAGGUAAUUAUUCCAUGUUUGAAUGCUCUUCACUAUAAUUCUCGCUGGGCUUAGGUCUUUGAAUUGAGGAUUUUCGAGAGUCCUCUUUACUAAUGCUGAGUGGCAAACUUUUCCCAACCCAACAAGUUCGCCGCAACACUUGCUAGAAAUAGUCCCAGUCUCGAAAAUACUCGUGAAAGCUUCUAGAACACAGGGCAAGCCCAUUUUAGUUUAACAAUUAUUAUCCUUAAUAAUUUGGUCGUUCUCCUUCGUAGCCAUUGCUGCCCCGCAAGUUAAGAAUAAAACCACUAGUGCAGAAUAAACAUUAAGGCUUGCCAUACCGCUCGAAUCUGAUGUUACUAGUUAAAUUUGGUUCGUAAAAUUAAUUUCGAACGAGAUUUGCAAGGAAAAGAAAUGGCAUUUAUAGGAAGUGUUAUAACCACAUUGGACUACAAUACGUUACAGUAAAAGAAAACAUUCAAUAUUUUAGUUUAAUUAGAACAUUCAAUAUUUCAGUUUAAUUAGCAUUAAUUUUAAUUACGACAAAUCUAAAUAUUAAUUCAAGGACGCACAUUAAUAUUUCCCUUCAUAAUUCUUAAAUGGCAUUAAACGGGUCACGAAAAUAAUGUUCAACAAAGAUGAUUAUGUUGUACAUGCGUUUCACCGUCGAAAUUGGGAUUGAACUAUUACGUCCAGUCCAAACCAAACACCUGGACGAUAAUAUGGUGGAAACAUCGUAUCGAAAAAGCAAUAUGGGAUUUAGUACACUUGCAUUACAGGCACACAUAUUCGUUAUGUGUGUCGUCCUAUUUUUCUAAUUUUUUGAAGUUGUGUACGCACUUGUUAUUUUGAUGGUAAAAAAUUCACGUGUAUCUCAAAAGUGAAUGAGCUGUACCAGAUUCCUCUGCCAGUGAUAUGGAUGUGGCACAAUGUAGAAAUAAUUAUGCGAAGCGCAAAAUCUUAUAACUUUGUUGUUGUUAAAAAGUUUUUAUCAAACUUAUCAUAUUUGUAAAAUGGAAAAUGGAAACUGAAUGAUUGAAAUUCAGAAUUAUUACAUCAAAAAUAUUUCUCGUUCUGAAAUUAAGUCGAUGUUUGUCUUGAUCGCGGGACUGCAUUUCAGUUUUUGUAGUCUUCGUUCUACGUUAACUUUUUAGGUGUGAGCGUUCCGACCCAAUGUUACUGGAAUAUGAAUUGAAUCUUCUAGUUGGAUAAGUAAUGGAACUUGGAAAAUGAAAAAUUCUCUUAGUGAGUUAAAUUGGAAACAACAAAUGAUGUUACAUUUCCAUAACUGUCGUAGGUAUUGCCCAAAUAAUGGAUAGGAUUUUGUUUUUAUAUAAAUUGAACCUUUUUUAAUAGGGAGAAUGUGGGACGUACGUCGUCGACAUAUUUGGUGUUUCAUUAUCGAUCAUGAUAAAAAAAGUAAUCUAAAGGAAGAAGAAUAAGGAAAUGAAGUUCAGACUUUGAAGCGUUCCAUCACUUUCGACGAGGAUUUCAAGAUUGCCUCUCCUCUUCGGAAAAGAAAGUGGUCGUAACUGUUAGAUAAGUAUCGAAGGAGUGAAAAUGGAAAAUGAAACAAAGGUGUCCAUAGGCAAUGAACUAUUGCAAAUUAUAGUGCAUGUCCCUUGGAGGAUAUUUCCUUGCACGAUAUGUGUCUUUUCACAACUUCGAGAAGUCAAGGUUCUUUUCCCUUAAAGCCAAUGUGAAUUUAAAUUGUAUAAAGACUUUCAAGGAAUUGAGAUUGUUUCCAUUCCACACCACGCUAGAACAUUCCAAUUCCACAUUAUUGGAAUGAACUUAAUGUUUAUAAUAAUGAUAUUUGUGCAAUUUAAACACUGUGAAACAGUAUAUAGUGCUCAAUUUGAGAUGGUUACCGAGUUCUAAUGCUAUAAAGUUAAAAGCAUUGGCGAAUAUAAAAUUAUAGUGUAUUAAUAAAUGGCUCCUCUAGAACCAUUUAAUUUUCUUAGAACUAAAUAUAAUUUAACUAGGCUUAAAUUUAAUGACACAUUUUAAUGAAGCUUUCGGAACAAUAUCAAAAUAAAGCCAAAAGAACAAUUUUGGGCCCGUUACGUCUUGUAACCGUUUGUUAGCUUAAGCAAUCAUAUAUCCUUAAGCAGACGGAGACGGUGAAUCGAUCAAUGCAAGGCAAUUAUUCCAUGUUUGAAUGCUCUUCGCUAUAAUUCUCGCUGGGCUUAGGUCUUUGAAUAGAGGAUUUUCGAGAGUCCUCUUUACUAAUGCUGAGUGGCAAACUUUUCCCAACCCAACAAGUUCGCCGCAACACUUGCUAGAAAUAGUCCCCUGUCUCGAAAAUACUCGUGAAAGCUUCUAGAACACAGGGCAAACCCAUUUUAGUUUCACAAUUAUUAUCCUUAAUAAUCUGGUCGUUCUCCUUCGUAGCCAUUGCUGCCCCGCAAGUUAAGAAUAAAACCACUAGUGCGGAAUAAACAUUAAGGCUUGCCAUACCGCUCGAAUCUGAUGUUACUAGUUAAAUUUGGUUCGUAAAAUUAAU
rnacentral:lncRNA from 1 species